rnacentral:rRNA from 1 species
AUACGGGAGGGGGCUAGCGUUGUUCGGAAUCACUGGGCGUAAAGCGUGCGUAGGCGGUGACUCAAGUCAGAGGUGAAAGCCUGGAGCUCAACUCCAGAACUGCCUUUGAAACUAGGUCGCUAGAAUGUCGGAGAGGUGAGUGGAAUUCCGAGUGUAGAGGUGAAAUUCGUAGAUAUUCGGAAGAACACCAGUGGCGAAGGCGGCUCACUGGACGACUAUUGACGCUGAGGCACGAAAGCGUGGGGAGC